rnacentral:rRNA from 1 species
GACGAACGCUGGCGGCGUGCCUAACACAUGCAAGUAGAACGCUGAAGCGAGGAGAUUGUUCUUUUUGGAUGAGUUGCGAACGGGCGAGUAACGAGUAGGUCACCUGCUUCGUUGUGGGGGAUAAUUAUUGGAAAAGAUAGCUAAUACUGCAUCACAAUGGCUGACACUUGUCAUUUAUUUGCAUCGGGCAUUUGCCCCAUUACAAGACGGGUCUGCGUUGUAUUAGUUAGCAGGUGAGGUAAUGGCUCACCUAGGGGUCGGUACAUAGCCGACCUGAGAGGGUGGUCGGGCACACUGGGACUGGGACACGGCCCAGGCUCCUACGGGAGGCAGCAGUAGGGGAUCUUCGGCAAUGGGGGCAACGCUGACCGAGCAACGCCGGGGGAGGGGAGAAGGGUUUCGGGUCGUAAAGGUCUGUUGUAAGGCAAGAACGAGUGGGAGGGUGGAAAGUUCACGCUGUGACGGUAGCUUACCAAAAAGGAACGGCUAACUACGUG